rnacentral:rRNA from 1 species
AUACUCUUCAUUGAUCAUACACCGAUUCUGUGAACCCAUUACCCUGUUGCUUCCCGUGGUCGCCCGUGCCGCGGGGAGGUCCAUCUGUAACCCGUUUGUUUGAUGCCGUCCAUGUCUGAGUGGGUCAUCCACAUAACGAAACGUUAAAACUUUCAACAACGGAUCUCUUGGUUCUCGCAUCGAUGAAGAACGCAGCGAAAUGCGAUAAGUAGUGUGAAUUGCAGAAUUCAGUGAAUCAUCGAAUCUUUGAACGCACAUUGCGCCUCCUGGCAUUCCGGGAGGCAUGCCUGUUCGAGCGUCAUUAAGUCAUCUCUCAACCCACCUGGUGGGUUGGUCUUGGAGGAGGACGCCCCUCGGUGGGCGCGCCCCCUCCGAAAUCCAUUGUUGCGGACGGACCCCUUCGGGCCCAGGCGUAGUAGCAUAACCCCUCUCGCCGCGGCUCCCAGUGGGUUGACGCUCCUGCCCACGACCCCACUAUUCUAACGCGCUUGACCUCGA